GACGAACGCUGGCGGCGUGCCUAAUACAUGCAAGUCGAACGCAUUUUCUUUCACCGUAGCUUGCUACACCGAAAGAAAAUGAGUGGCGAACGGGUGAGUAACACGUGGGUAACCUGCCCAUCAGCGGGGGAUAACACUUGGAAACAGGUGSUAAUACCGCAUAAUUCCAUUUACCGCAUGGUAGAUGGAUGAAAGGCGCUUYUGSGUCACUGAUGGAUGGACCCGCGGKGCAUUAGCUAGUUGGUGGGGUAACGGCCUACCAAGGYUGCGAUGCAUAGCCGACCUGAGAGGGUGAUCGGCCACACUGGGACUGAGACACGGCCCAGACUCCUACGGGAGGCAGCAGUAGGGAAUCUUCGGCAAUGGACGCAAGUCUGACCGAGCAACGCCGCGYGAGUGAAGAAGGUUUUCG
rnacentral:rRNA from 1 species